GCGUGUUGGCAGUGUGGUUAGCUGGUUGUGUAGCUUAUAGAAAGCACGACCGCUAUCGACACUGCAAUUAUGA
ncrna:Nasonia vitripennis (jewel wasp) microRNA nvi-mir-34 precursor